rnacentral:rRNA from 1 species
AUUGAACGCUGGCGGCAGGCCUAACACAUGCAAGUCGAACGAGUGGCGGACGGGUGAGUAAUGUCUGGGAAACUGCCUGAUGGAGGGGGAUAACUACUGGAAACGGUAGCUAAUACCGCAUACCAUCAGAUGUGCCCCGAUGGGAUUAGCUUGUUGGGGGGGUAACGGCUCACCAAGGCGACGCUCCCUAGCUGGUCUAAGAGGAUGACCAGCCAACCUGUAACUGAGACAAGGGCCAGACUCCUACGGUAGGCAGCAGUGGGGAUGAUUGCACAAGGGGCGCAAGCCUGAUGCAGCCAGGCCGCGUGUAUGAAGAAGGCCUUCGGGUUGUAAAGUACGUUCAGCGGGGAGGCGUUACCCGCAGAAGAAGCACCGGCUAACUCCGUGCCAGCAGCCGCGGUAAUAC